GAUGAACGCUGGCGGCGUGCUUAACACAUGCAAGUCGAACGAAGCACUUUAUUUGAUUUCCUUCGGGACUGAUUAUUUUGUGACUGAGUGGCGGACGGGUGAGUAACGCGUGGGUAACCUGCCUUGUACAGGGGGGUAACAGUUGGAAACGGCUGCUAAUACCGCAUAAGCGCACAGCAUCGCAUGAUGCAGUGUGAAAAACUCCGGUGGUAUAAGAUGGACCCGCGUUGGAUUAGCUAGUUGGUGAGGUAACGGCCCACCAAGGCGACGAUCCAUAGCCGACCUGAGAGGGUGACCCGCCACAUUGGGACUGAGACACGGCCCAAACUCCUACGGGAGGCAGCAGUGGGGAAUAUUGCACAAUGGGCGAAAGCCUGAUGCAGCGACGCCGCGUGAGCGAAGAAGUAUUUCGGUAUGUAAAGCUCUAUCAGCAGGGAAGAUAAUGACGGUACCUGACUAAGAAGCACCGGCUAAAUACGUG
rnacentral:rRNA from 1 species